UUAAGCGACUAAGCGUACACGGUGGAUGCCCUGGCAGUCAGAGGCGAUGAAGGGCGUGCUAAUCUGCGAUAAGCGCCGGUAAGGUGAUAUGAACCGUUAUAACCGGCGAUACCCGAAUGGGGAAACCCAGUGUGAUUCGUCACACUAUCAUUAACUGAAUCCAUAGGUUAAUGAGGCGAACCGGGGGAACUGAAACAUCUAAGUACCCCGAGGAAAAGAAAUCAACCGAGAUUCCCCCAGUAGCGGCGAGCGAACGGGGAGGAGCCCAGAGCCUGAAUCAGCAUGUGUGUUAGUGGAAGCGUCUGGAAAGGCGCGCGAUACAGGGUGACAGCCCCGUACACAAAAGCGCAUGUGCUGUGAGCUCGAUGAGUAGGGCGGGACACGUGGUAUCCUGUCUGAAUAUGGGGGGACCAUCCUCCAAGGCUAAAUACUCCUGACUGACCGAUAGUGAACCAGUACCGUGAGGGAAAGGCGAAAAGAACCCCGGCGAGGGGAGUGAAAAAGAACCUGAAACCGUGUACGUACAAGCAGUGGGAGCCCCACCACCAAAGCAUUCUCUGGUGUUGAAGGCCCUGCAAAGCAGCAUCGCGGUGGCGGAGCGUCGUUUGCGACGCCCAACACACAAAACAAGCGGUGAGUGCUUUGGGGUGGGGUGACUGCGUACCUUUUGUAUAAUGGGUCAGCGACUUAUAUUCUGUAGCAAGGUUAACCGAAUAGGGGAGCCGGAGGGAAACCGAGUCUUAAUUGGGCGUUAAGUUGCAGGGUAUAGACCCGAAACCCGGUGAUCUAGCCAUGGGCAGGUUGAAGGUUGGGUAACACUAACUGGAGGACCGAACCGACUAAUGUUGAAAAAUUAGCGGAUGACCUGUGGCUGGGGGUGAAAGGCCAAUCAAACCGGGAGAUAGCUGGUUCUCCCCGAAAGCUAUUUAGGUAGCGCCUCGUGAAUUCAUCUCCGGGGGUAGAGCACUGUUUCGGCUAGGGGGCCAUCCCGGCUUACCAACCCGAUGCAAACUGCGAAUACCGGAGAAUGUUAUCACGGGAGACACACGGCGGGUGCUAACGUCCGUCGUGAAGAGGGAAACAACCCAGACCGCCAGCUAAGGUCCCAAAGUCAUGGUUAAGUGGGAAACGAUGUGGGAAGGCCCAGACAGCCAGGAUGUUGGCUUAGAAGCAGCCAUCAUUUAAAGAAAGCGUAAUAGCUCACUGGUCGAGUCGGCCUGCGCGGAAGAUGUAACGGGGCUAAACCAUGCACCGAAGCUGCGGCAGCGAACGUAUCACUUAAAGCGAUUCAGCGGGUUACGAUUGACGGAGCGAAGCGACGUCAAAGCGUAUACAAAGUCGAGUCGGUUUAAGGAUACGUUCGUUGGGUAGGGGAGCGUUCUGUAAGCCUGUGAAGGUGGCCUGUGAGGGUUGCUGGAGGUAUCAGAAGUGCGAAUGCUGACAUAAGUAACGAUAAAGCGGGUGAAAAGCCCGCUCGCCGGAAGACCAAGGGUUCCUGUCCAACGUUAAUCGGGGCAGGGUGAGUCGACCCCUAAGGCGAGGCCGAAAGGCGUAGUCGAUGGGAAACAGGUUAAUAUUCCUGUACUUGGUGUUACUGCGAAGGGGGGACGGAGAAGGCUAUGUUGGCCGGGCGACGGUUGUCCCGGUUUAAGCGUGUAGGUGUGUGUUCCAGGUAAAUCCGGUUCACUUUAACACUGAGGCGUGAUGACGAGGCACUACGGUGCUGAAGCAACAAAUGCCCUGCUUCCAGGAAAAGCCUCUAAGCAUCAGGUAACAUCAAAUCGUACCCCAAACCGACACAGGUGGUCAGGUAGAGAAUACCAAGGCGCUUGAGAGAACUCGGGUGAAGGAACUAGGCAAAAUGGUGCCGUAACUUCGGGAGAAGGCACGCUGACACGUAGGUGAAGUGAUUUACUCAUGGAGCUGAAGUCAGUCGAAGAUACCAGCUGGCUGCAACUGUUUAUUAAAAACACAGCACUGUGCAAACACGAAAGUGGACGUAUACGGUGUGACGCCUGCCCGGUGCCGGAAGGUUAAUUGAUGGGGUCAGCGCAAGCGAAGCUCCUGAUCGAAGCCCCGGUAAACGGCGGCCGUAACUAUAACGGUCCUAAGGUAGCGAAAUUCCUUGUCGGGUAAGUUCCGACCUGCACGAAUGGCGUAAUGAUGGCCAGGCUGUCUCCACCCGAGACUCAGUGAAAUUGAACUCGCUGUGAAGAUGCAGUGUACCCGCGGCAAGACGGAAAGACCCCGUGAACCUUUACUAUAGCUUGACACUGAACAUUGAGCCUUGAUGUGUAGGAUAGGUGGGAGGCUUUGAAGUGUGGACGCCAGUCUGCAUGGAGCCGACCUUGAAAUACCACCCUUUAAUGUUUGAUGUUCUAACGUGGACCCGUGAUCCGGGUUGCGGACAGUGUCUGGUGGGUAGUUUGACUGGGGCGGUCUCCUCCUAAAGAGUAACGGAGGAGCACGAAGGUUGGCUAAUCCUGGUCGGACAUCAGGAGGUUAGUGCAAUGGCAUAAGCCAGCUUGACUGCGAGCGUGACGGCGCGAGCAGGUGCGAAAGCAGGUCAUAGUGAUCCGGUGGUUCUGAAUGGAAGGGCCAUCGCUCAACGGAUAAAAGGUACUCCGGGGAUAACAGGCUGAUACCGCCCAAGAGUUCAUAUCGACGGCGGUGUUUGGCACCUCGAUGUCGGCUCAUCACAUCCUGGGGCUGAAGUAGGUCCCAAGGGUAUGGCUGUUCGCCAUUUAAAGUGGUACGCGAGCUGGGUUUAGAACGUCGUGAGACAGUUCGGUCCCUAUCUGCCGUGGGCGCUGGAGAACUGAGGGGGGCUGCUCCUAGUACGAGAGGACCGGAGUGGACGCAUCACUGGUGUUCGGGUUGUCAUGCCAAUGGCACUGCCCGGUAGCUAAAUGCGGAAGAGAUAAGUGCUGAAAGCAUCUAAGCACGAAACUUGCCCCGAGAUGAGUUCUCCCUGAGACUUAGAGUCUCCUGAAGGAACGUUGAAGACGACGACGUUGAUAGGCCGGGUGUGUAAGCGCAGCGAUGCGUUGAGCUAACCGGUACUAAUGAACCGUGAGGCUUAACCUU
rnacentral:rRNA from 1 species